GUUCAAUUCCCGCUAUCCGCCCCCCCCCCUUUUUUUUUCUCUAAUAAUAACUUAUAGUAAUUAGUUUAAUAAC
rnacentral:tRNA from 1 species